GGGGCUGUGGCCUAGUGGUGUUAUAUCCCCUUGGCAUGGGAAAGAUCCGGGUCAAUUCCCUGCAGCUCAA